rnacentral:lncRNA from 1 species
CAGAAGUCAGGUCGGAUUAAGCCAUAGUACGGAAAAAACUAUGCUACCUGUGAGCCCCGUCCAAGGACGUUAAAAGAAGUCAGGCCACUACAAGUGCCAUAGCUUGAGUAAACUAUGCAGCCUGUAGCUCCACCUGAGAGGGUGUAAAAAAUCUGGGAGGCCACAAACCAUGGAAGCUGUACGCAUGGCGUAGUGGACUAGCGGUUAGAGGAGACCCCUCCCUUACAAAUCGCAGCAACAAUGGGGGCCCAAGGUGAGAUGAAGCUGUAGUCUCACUGAAAGGACUAGAGGUUAGAGGAGACCCC